ensembl:lncRNA
CUUCAGCGCAGUCUCCUCCCUAACCUUAUCAAGACACCAGUCAACCCCACCCUCUGGACUCUGCCCCCUUGCCUUCCCCCAGGCAGGUGCAGGCAGGUCGUGGUGAGCAGUACAGGUGGCCAGACUAGACGAACGGGCCCAGCAGGGAGGAGCCUUCCUCCUCAUCAAGGACUGUGACUCUAGGCCUGGGUCUGGAAGUGGCCUCUGCUGCAAGCCUCCUUCCAUCCACCCAUCAAGGCCAUAUCCUGUUUCCCCAUCACCUCCUUCCUCUCUGUGGCCCAAGAAGGCGAUAGGGGCCCACUCCCUCCCCUCCUAACUCUCAGAGACAAGAAGGGCGGAGUCUGUGGAGUUGAAAUCAGGACACGGCGAGAGGAAGAGUUAUAUAACUGGGAGAAGCCGAGAAGGACGAGUGAGGACCGGGAGAGACAGCCCGAAAGGAGCCGAGGGAGGUGCAAAGAGCACCAGGGCGAGUGGGGAAGAAACGUUAGGGAUGGGAAAGAUUUCGGUGCACAUCAAAGGGGAAGAAUUCACGCGAAGACGGGUUGUGAUGCUCCGGGAAGAGUCACCUGGGGCGUCCGGGGCUUCCCCGCAGUGCCCUUCCCUGCUGCCAACAGCAGCCGGGCCCGAGCGCGUGAAGCCUCGGGAAGGGGCGCUGAUACCCGUUCGGUUCCUCUUGGGGAGGCAACUUUAGCCAGAGCCCGGGACGGCAGCGGUGGAGCAGAUGGGGCCGGAAACCACAGCUCCGCCCAGCCCACCUGGGAAAGUGGGGCUCCAGCUGGGGUGGGGAACAGGUAGCUGGCUCCUCCCACGCCAGGCAUUAACUGCUCUAGACCCCUAGGAAGAAGGCUAGCGGACCCAGACGUCUGGGUCCCCAGAGGCUGAGAAGCGCAGCCCGGUACUCGUUUGCGAACCGACUCUCUAGAAAGGAGAAAGGGGGGCGCGCGGUGAGCGCUGACUCGCCGCGCAAGCGCAGGGUGGGGUAC